rnacentral:rRNA from 1 species
UAGCGGAACUCCUACGGGAGGCAGCAGUGGGGAAUUUUGGACAAUGGGGGCAACCCUGAUCCAGCAAUGCCGCGUGAGUGAAGAAGGCCUUUGGGUUAUAAAGCUCUUUUGUCAGGGAAGAAACGGUAGUAGCUAAUAUCUAUAACUAAUGACGGUACCUGAAGAAUAAGCGCCGGCUAACUACGUGCAGCAGCCGCGGUAAUACGUAGGGUGCAAGCGUUAAUCGGAGGUACUGGGCGUAAAGCGUGCGCAGGCGGUUGUGUAAGUCAGAUGUGAAAUCCCCGGGCUCAACCUGGGAAUUGCAUUUGAGACUGCACGGCUAGAGUGUGUCAGAGGGGGGUAGAAUUCCACGUGUAGCAGUGAAAUGCGUAGAUAUGUGGAGGAAUACCGAUGGCGAAGGCAGCCCCCUGGGAUAACACUGACGCUCAUGCACGAAAACGUGGGGAGCAAACAGGAUUAGAAACCCGAGUAGUCCACUUAUG